UAAUGAGCGUUAAUGAUCAUCUCAUUUAAUGAAUGUCAAACUCUGCCCGCAUGUCUCGGCAGUGAACAGUGUGUGUGAGGAUCGUGCUGUUGAUUCAGCAGCUCUUCCACUGCGCUGAGGUGCGCGCGCUCGCGUGCGUGCGUGCGUGUGUGUGUGAGAGCAUGAUCGAGUGCAUGUGGACGCGUGAGGCAGGAGGAAGGAUGCCUGCUCGUGUGUGAGGCUGGCAGAGACACAGCCGUAUUUACACCGGAGAAACGCCAGACACGUCGCUCUGCGCCGCCAGCAUGCCCGCGGAGGUGAAGGAGAAGCCGGACCCAGAGGAACCGCCGGCCGAACCUUCAAAUCAAGACACCAAAGAGAAGACAGAGGAGGUUCUUCCAGCUGAGGAGACAGCAGACGCUCCGUCCUCAGACGUGUCUACGGUCGCCUCACAUCACACAGAAACUCAUACUGAGAGUUCAGGCAUUGGGACGGAGAAGUCUUCCAGCCCUGAUAGUGAAACGAACCCGCUCAGCUCCAGCAGCUCCAAUGAACAGGUCGUGCCGAAUGUCCUGAAGGAAAGUCCUAGAGAAUCCUCUGAAGGGUUGGAUGAGUUGCAGACGACGUCUCCAGAUGCUCAACCGCAUCCUGAAGCCUCUCUCGAGAAGGAAGAUGCGCGUGCGGUCCUACCCCCCCACCCUGAGACCAGCAUGACCUCUGACCUUGCAAAUGAGAAUCCCAAAGACCAGUCGUCUCUGUACGGCACUCUUAACAGUCACGGCGUGACACUCCUGCAUGGAUUCCAGUACCAUCCGUCAUUUCCCACCCUGCCCGCCAGGAACUACUUACCGGAGAACUGCUACACACUACCGCUGCACCGCUGCGCUUCAAAAGCGGAGCAGGACGGCAUAGAUCUGCGCUCCGGCGUACCAAGCCAUCCAAUCCAUCAUAUGAGGCCGACUUUGGACCUUACUGUGGACGAGCACCUCGGGCCGCUGCCGCAUGCAUAUUUCCAGGAUCUGUACAGGACGGUCAUACCACAGAAACGCGCCAGCAUGGUGAGCCUCGACACCAUCCGGAAGGACCCGCGCUGGAGGGACCCGAACCUGAGGGAGGUCAUCGCCAUGUUGAGCCACCCGAUGGACCCGGUGAAGUCCAACGCCGCGGCGUAUCUGCAGCACCUCUGCUACGAGAACGACAAGGUCAAGCAGGACGUCCGGCAGCUCAGAGGGAUCCCUGUCCUGGUGGGGCUCCUGGACCAUCCCAAACCUGAGGUCCAUCGCAAGGCCUGCGGAGCGCUGAGAAACAUCUCCUUCGGCAGAGACAAUUUCAACAAGGUGGCCAUUAAGAAUUCAGAAGGAAUUCCUGCGCUGCUGAGACUGCUGAGGAAAUCCAACGACGGGGAAGUCAGAGAGCUGGUCACAGGAACUCUCUGGAAUCUCUCGUCCCAUGAGCCUCUGAAGAUGAUCGUCAUCAACCACGGCCUGCAGACGCUGACUGACGAGAUCAUCAUCCCUCACUCGGGCUUGAGAGGAGACCCAAACGAUCCGGCCCGGCCCGGAGAUCCCGAGUGGAACACGGUCUUCAAGAACACUUCUGGAUGUCUGAGGAACGUGAGUUCAGACGGAGCCGAAGCUCGACAGAGACUGCGCGAGUGUGAGGGACUGGUGGACGCGCUGCUGCACGCGCUUUAUUCUGCUGUCGCCAAGAGAGACAUAAAUAACAAAGCUUCCUCUCAAGCUCACUGCUGUGUUUCUCACCUGCUUUUGCAGUCGGUAGAGAACUGUGUCUGUAUCUUGCGUAAUCUGUCCUACCACGUGCACAAGGAGGUUCCCGGAGCCGAGAAGUUCCACAUCCAAGCGGCCAAUCACAGCGCAAGAUCGGGAGGUCACCAUAAGAAGAAGGAGGAGCCGGACUGCUUUGGAGGACGGACGAGCAAAGAAGAAUGGUUCCAUCAGUGUAAAAGACACGGAGCCGGAGAGAAGAAGAGCGGCGGUGUGGAUCUGCCAAAGAGGAGUCUGCCGAUGAAAGGCCUGGAGCUUCUGUACCAGCCGGAGGUGGUUCGACUCUACCUGUCGCUCCUUAAACUGAGCCAGAACCACAACACUCUUGAGGCGGCAGCCGGAGCCCUUCAGAACCUGUCUGCCGGACACUGGGCCUGGUCCAGUUAUAUCCGCGCGACGGUCCGUAAGGAGAAGGGUCUGCCGGUGCUUGUGGAGCUGCUGCACUCAGAUGCGGAUAAAGUGGUGCGAGCCAUCGCCAUCGCGCUCAGAAACCUCGCCAUCGACCACAAGAACAAAGAUCUCAUCGGGAGCUACGCCAUGAGGGAUCUGGUCAGUAACCUGCCCUGCGGCCAGCAGCGACCCGCCAAAAACCUGGAGGGAGACACGGUGGUGGCCGUUCUGAACACUAUCCUGGAGAUCGUCUCGGAGAACCUGGAGAAUGCCAGAUUCCUCAUUCAGGGACAGGGAAUCCAGAAACUGGUGUCAAUCAACAGAACAAGCCAAUCAGUGCGCGAAACCAAAGCAGCGUCACACAUCCUGCAGACGGUCUGGGCCUAUAAAGAUCUCCGGCACACCCUGCUCAAGGCCGGCUGGAACAAAACCCACUUCAAGCCAGCCGUCUCCAGCCUGCCCAAAAAACAGAAGAACGCCAAGCAAGGGAGCGAUGACAUCACACUGCCCUUAAUGGAGAAAAACCAAGAUGGAUACUGCACCGCUGAUCAGGCCGAGAGAGCAGGAGACGCUCCGUGUCACAUGAUCGAACGAGAAGCUUUUCAGGGUGUGGCUGAUAAGAGGCCGUUCAUCAGGACCAGCAGGCCAGCGGUUGGGUUAGUGGAGCGAACGCCGCAGCCGCUGGACUCAUGGGUCUGAUCCGGCCCACGGUAAACCAUCGCUUCAGCUUCUUCUCAUGCGUCAGUGAAGCCGUAAAGGGUUGGAGAUCCACUUUCAGACCUGCAUUUAGACUGACGUUCAGCACAAUUCAUCACAGAAUCAAACGAGAAAUACGACAUAUCAUACCUGUUCAUGCCCUGCUGAAGAUCGCUGGACGAAUCGUGACCGAUCCGUCUGAACGUGGAAUUUGACUCUUUGCUGCUUUGGCAAUCUUCACUGUUAAACUCAAGAAUCAUGAUGUGACGAGUCACUUAUAGAUCUGAUUAUACACCAUAUUAUGAUCUUGUGUUGUUUCUAUUGCUUUUUAUGUUGUUGAUGAGUCUCUCAAUUGUAUAAUAGUGUUCCAGAUAUUUCUGAUCAUCCACACAGACGAUUUCAGCUCUGUAUCUAAAGUUUUAUGCACAAAAGAAAUAACAUGAUAUGAUUAUAUUAAUAGGUUAUUAUGGGUACUGAUAGUCUACAUGCAAAAUUGUACUUAUUAUAGUCUAAAUCAGAGAAUAUAUCAGAGAUUUUAAUGCAUUCACACUAAAUUGGUUUCAUAACAUCAGUGAUUUAAUGGCUUGAAAAAUAAAAUCAAUGAGUUCUUAA